rnacentral:rRNA from 1 species
CUUGGUCAUUUAGAGGAAGUAAAAGUCGUAACAAGGUUUCCGUAGGUGAACCUGCGGAAGGAUCAUUAUUGAUUGAUAAAGGGAUGUGCUGGCAAAAUUAUUUUGCAUUGUGCACUCCUGAAAUCUUCAUCCACCUGUGCACUUUGUUGUAGAUAAAAGCGAAUAAAGUCAUUUAUUCAUUUUGUCUAUGUUUUUAAUAAACCUUUUUACAAAUCUAUGGAAUGGUCGGCUUGUUACAAGCUAAAAUUAAUACAACUUUCAACAAUGGAUUUCUUGGUUCUCGCAUCGAUGAAGAACGCAGCGAAUUGCGAUAUGUAAUGUGAAUUGCAGAAUUCAGUGAAUCAUCGAAUCUUUGAACGCACCUUGCACCCUUUGGUCUUCCAAAGGGUAUGCCUGUUUGAGUAUCAUUAAUAUCUCAACAUAAAUCAAUUUGAUUUGUGCUUGGAUUCUGAAGGUCUGCUGGUUGUUUACAAUCAGCUCCUUUUAAAUAUAUUAGCAAGGACUAUGCAGGACUGGCUUCAGUUUGAUAAUUGAUUUUUAUCUAUGCUGUUGCUAGGUUGCUUCUGUCUAGGCUUAUAAUUGUCUUCGGACUGUCUCUUAAGACAUAACUUUUAAAAUUGAUCUCAAAUCAGGUAGGACUACCCGCUGAACUUAAGCAUAUCAAUAAGCGGAGGAAAAGAAACUAACAAGGAUUCCCUUAGUAACUGCGAGUGAAGAGGGAAGAGCUCAAAUUUAAAAUCUGGCAGCCUUGGCUGUCCGAGUUGUAAAUUAGAGAAGUGCUAUCCGCGUUGGCCUGUGCAAAAGUCUCUUGGAAAAGAGCAUCAUAGAGGGUGACAAUCCCGUCUUUGGCACAGAUCCCAAGGCUGUUGUGAUACGCUUUCAAAGAGUCGAGUUGUUUGGGAAUGCAGCUCUAAAUGGGUGGUAAAUUCCAUCUAAAGCUAAAUAUUGGCGAGAAACCGAUAGUGAACAAGUACCGUGAGGGAAAGAUGAAAAGAACUUUGAAAAGAGAGUUAAACAGUGCAUGAAAUUGUUGAAAGGGAAACGCUUAAAGUCAGUCAUGUUCUUCAGAAAUCAACCAAAUCCUCCUGGAUCUGGCUUACUUUCUGUUGAAUAGGUCAGCAUCAAUUUUGAUCAUUAGACAAAGGCAUUGGGAAGGUGGCAUCUUCGGAUGUGUUAUAGCCCAGUGUUCCAUAUAUAAUGGUUGGGAUUGAGGAACUCAGUGUGAAUUUGGGGCUUCGGCUCACAUUACGCACUUUGGAUGCUGGCAUAAUGGCUUUAAUCGACCCGUCUUGAAACACGGACC